GGUGCUCGGAAUGUCCCUCCAACAUUGUAGAUUGGCAAAUAAACCCAAUUUCCAUUAUUUCCAUAAGUAAAUGCCCCCAUCUUAUUACAAUAAGAGAGACUGUUCGUUUUAUAUAGAAUUGAAAAAAAGUUGCCCAAAUGGAUAGGCUAGAACUAGCAAACCAAGAUAAAUUAUAUCUGAUCACGCCAUUCUUUCCAUUAAUGUCAGGCGUGCUGGCAGAAUUCUGUAGUACUAUAUGUUAAGAAAUUUGAAUGUGCAAUUUGCAAAUUGAACUUCCC